rnacentral:lncRNA from 1 species
CACAGUUGGAGGGUGGCACCUAACGCAAAUCCUAAAUUUUAGUUCAUGCAGCAAAUCACUGGAACUCAACAACCAGCACAAUUGGACAAACACAGAGGACACCAGAAAGGAUUCAUGAUUACGAAUCGAACCGAGCAGUUGCAACAUUUCCUUGCCAUGGCAAGUCCGAAACCAAACCAACUAGAUCACACAAGUACUCCAGCACUCAUAAACACUGGCCAUUAAACUGACAUGACGUCUUACUGCAGCGGUUUCUCCUUAAAUAGGCAAUGGACAGAAUAUUAGGAACUCUGAAGUUCAUACAGGACUCCACGCCAUAUGAGGCGUCUAAAAGGUCGAUCCGUUCCACCCAAAGUCCGAGCGCUGCAUGGUAAAGAAAAAGGCUUAAUUGGAGUUCAUAUAAUUAGCAUCUAGCAUAGAAAGGAAGCCACUGUGGAAGCUAACAUGACACUACGAGUUCAAACGACAGAUGGACAUUUACAUGAUCUACUCUUGAUGCAAAGCAUGCAAACAUUGAGCAUGUUCUUGUGCAGGAUGGGCCUAACAAACAGCAGAAUUGCAAUGAGAACAUGAUGAUGCCUGAUGAAGACCCAUGAAUGAGCGGUCGACAGGAAAUAAUAUCUGCUUGCCUUUGAAUCAUGGAACUUGAGGUAGAAGCGGGACUUGGGGAUGGACAGCUUUGACUCCAGGAUGGAAGCAAUGCCGGCACUCAGCUUCUUGUUCACAUCAGGGUUCAGCCCUCCGAUGGAAACCAGCUCACCGUAGGCUGCAGGCUCCUGGGUACCUCCGAACGCCAUGGGCACUGAACCCUUGAGAACAACCAUCACAUACUGUUGGAAGCACUCAAGUUAGUAUCUGAAUGAUAAAGACGGUGAGAAAGAACUUUGGUAUACCCGCUACCCGGUCAGCUAAAAACCAGAAAACUAUCACAGCCUAAUUUCCAGUAGUUCGAGUGUCUGACAUUGUAUACAAUCAUAUCAUAUCUCCAAAUCUACAGAAUGAAACACCAACUAAGAGCUUCAUUAUAAUUGGCUUCAGUAUCAUAAAUAUAAAUAACCAGGCAAGUCAUUUUGAUCUUAAUUAUCUCUGAUAUAUCAACAGAAGUAGCUAUUGGAGCCAUUUUUCUGUUAAAAUUGAUGUAUUUCUACACUUAAAAACAACUAACCUAAGUACAGUUAGCUUUCCAAAAUAAUACUCCAGUAUAUUUAGAAAAGAACUUGAGAAUCAAGGAAAUGACCUGUAUUUCUCUAAAAACAUAAGCAAAUAAAGUUCUGAAUAGUUAAACAUGAGCAGUCCAGAUUUACGUCAGAUUAAUGGUACUGUGCAUAUAUUUUAUAAUUUUCCAAUACAUGAGGUUCUGAAUUAGCAAUUAUAGAGGAACACGAAGAAAACAGCCAUAUCUUGUUGAUGUGAAAUACCUCUACAUUCGAAAGACAAGCAAAACAAGUAAACAUGUAUUUCUGGAAAGACUUUCAGAUAUUGCCUCCCAAAGCAAAAUCUCUAAAACAGAAUAAAGUGUUUUCACUCUAGACUUGCAAUAGACACUAAUCAUAACCUCCUAAUCAACUCAUUUUGGUGUUGCAAUGACCAAGAAAAAUGGAAAAUAUGAAGGUUUCAAAGUUCUUUUGAGAGAAAGAUACACACAAACUCCAUGCUCCAUGGUACUCUGAAAGUUCCCCAUCUUAUGCUAUGUUUACAGAGAAAUCCGUAAUAAAUAUUAAAGAUGUCGAGCAUGUUCAUUGUCUGAUUUGCUUCUGUAGAGAGACAGAUUGGUUCUAUUCAUCCCUUUACCAAGUAACUUGCCCAUCCAUUUCAAGUUUCAGCAUAUUCAUGUCAUAGCACAUCAAACACCCUUCAUGCUUAUCAUAUUGAGGCUAAGAAAUAUAAAAAUGCUACUCCCUCCAAUCCGAAUUAAUUGACGCAGACAAUGUAAAAUGGACAUUCUAUAGAGGCUGCGUCAAUUAAUUCGGAUCGGAGGGAGUAACUGAUUCGAAAAAAUAUCCAAACCAAGAAGACAACGACUUGACCACCAAACAUCAAGAAAUCGAACCUUGAUUCAGUUCAGGUUCAGUCCAAGUUUUCAAUUUUCACGUGCAUGCUAAUCUGCUCCUAAAUAUAAGAUGUUUUGGCAGUUCAAUUUAAACUGCCAAAACGUCUCACAUAUAGGAACAAAGGUAGUAAAUAAAACUGCAAAGUUUAUUUGACAAGAAACUGAUUUUUUCGUCUGUGUGGUCUACAUUCACCAACAAACAAACACAUGACCAUAAGAAACACAGUCCUAAACUGGACAUAACCCCAGAUCACAACCUUGAACUUGCUCCACACAUGAAAAUGUCAUACAAACCUACAGAUCAAAACCCCGUAUCCACAAUUUCAGCAGUCGUGGGACAAAGAUCUUCCAGGGCAAAGCAAACAUGAAUAGCCGCCCAAAGGAAGGGGAACAAACCCCCAGCAUCGAAUCGACUCCCCAAAACCCUAACAGAUUGAAGGGCCAGACCUAAGAGACGGACGGAAUCCAGGGGACGGCCACGCCUGUAUGGAUCGACAUGGAGAUACGGACGCCGCGAGAAGAGGGAAGAUGGCCUAGGCAAGGCGGGAUGUUGAGGAAAGGGGGGAGAUGGGGCAAGGAGCGUACGUUCUCCGGCUUGCCGAUGAUGGUUGCGACGGUGCUGGAGGCGUCGGCGAGGACGGCGGAGGUGUCCACCCCCUCCAGGUUCACGUUCGUCGACACGUUCAGGCAAG